UCUCACUCUACUCCAUUCACUCCCCUCCCCUCGCAGCCGCCCCACGCUCCUCUCAGCUCUCGCCUCUCCCCCCGCCUCUCCGCCGUCGCCGCCGCGGGGCUCCUCUCAGCUCUCGCCUCUCUCCUUUCCCCUUGCUGUGUCGCCUCCCCUCGGCGCCGCCGCCUCGCCUUGCCUCGGGUCUCCGUUCCACCUAUUUUUUUUUUACUUUUUGCUCCAAGCCAGCGACGAAUCCCCGGAUCUGGCGUCAGCGAGGAAGGAUACGGUGGCUGCGAGGACGUACACGCCGGAUCCGGGCCAGCACAACCACCAGAUGGGAGCUGCGGCGGCUGGACACCUUCGAGGUGCUGCCGCGGGCAGGAGAAUAUCGCUGCAGCACCCUUCGCCGCUGCCAAGCUCCUGGCGCUGGUGGACGCGAGACCCCAAGUUGCCGUCCACCACGAGGUGCUGCUACGGGUAGGAGGAGCUGCUGCCGCACACCACUAAGUGAUGCUACGGGCAGGCGGAGGUGUGACCACGACGACGUACCAGACAAGGAGAGGCGCAGUGAAUGAGAAUGUUGGCUUAGAAAUUCAGAACAUCCAAGAAGUGGUCGGGGGACUGGUUUUGGUAAGUGAACACGGUACAAAGUUAGUUCGGUUUAUGAUUUGGACGUGGUUUAAUGUCAUGAACCAUCUGUUUUGUUUUUGUAAUAUCUUUUUUUCCUAUCUAACAAGAGGUUGUUAUUGUUCAUUACCCUGCAUUGGAUGGUUAUGCAGUAAGCCAGUAAGAUGCUUCUGUGAACAAGCAAACAUUGAUGUUUAGAUCCUUUACAACAGUACAUGUAAAUAUCAUUUCACUUAUUUGAAAUUCCACACACCCAGUUCAUAUAUAUGAGGGUAUCUUGAGAAGAUCAGUUCUGCCACUGUUGUUGUUGGAGACAGAAUUGAACGAGCUCUUCCUUUGUAUCAUCUUUCUUAUAUUGAUUAGUGAAUAGUUGUUGCUGCUUUUAGCCCUCGUUUUCGUGAGAACUUGUUCAGAGUGUAGAAAAGAAAAUUAUGUGGCUAUAGAAGCAUAUAUGCCAUUCAGUAAAACAUCAAAGAAAAAUAACUUUGAAAUCUAUAUAUUUAUUGACUGUGCACCUAUUCCAUCUUCCAAGUAACUUCUGUGGGGUCAUCCUGAUCAGAAGUUUAUCCACCUAAAGAAAAAUUAAUUUUAUCCGAACUUCAUUUCAUUUAUUAUGUUCUCUCACAUUUUUUCAUUGUAUUUAUACAUGAGGAUUUUUUUUGUUUCUCUUGUUUAUUUUGAAAGUGAGUACCAGUUUUGAAUAGGCAUUAUCUUUGACCAUUUGAUAGUGAGUUGAAAGAAUAUUUUCUCAUUUCCAAGUUCCUCGCUACCCGCUCUCCUGUUUGAAGAUUAUUCUAUUCCUUUUGUGAAUUCUCUUCAUGUCCUGAAGAGGAGGUUUCUGCACCCUAUUAUGCUUCAUGUCCUUCAUUCAAAAAUUAAUUUGAUGCCUGGCUGAUUAGUGCUGAAUCAGAUCUAGCACAGAAUCACAUUUUACAGCAUUUCCAUUAUGAGUAUGUUUAUACAGUUGUUGAGUACCUUUAAUUGAAUCAGCAGAUUGUCUCGUCUACCCUUUGUGUAUUAGUUAUCCUUCCUUAUGGUGUUUUGAUUGAAUAGAAGCAGAUCAGGAGCCUUUGUUGUUGGUCCACUCUAAUCCCAACCCUUUGUAUGAUAUUUUUGUCAUCUAGAUUUUUAUAGAUGGUUAUGUUGUAUGUUCAUAUUCAUAUGUUGGCUCGGAGAUCCCUUUUGUGGCUUCUACUUUAUCAUGAAGAUUGUCGACAAGGAUUGAGAAGACAUAAUUGCUUACUAAUUAGAUUUCCAUAGAUGGUUAUGUUGUAUGUUCAUAUUCAUAUGUUGGCUCGCAGAUCCCUUUUCUGGCUUCUACUUUAUCAUGAAGAUUGUCGACAAGGAUUGAUAAGAGAUAAUUGCUUACUAAUUGCUCGUGUGUUUUUCAUCUCAGUGCUUCUCGGUGCCCUUCAUAAAGAACUUUCUCCCCGGAUUGUCUAUCAAAUCUCCAGUUGGAAAUAUCAGUCUACAGGCCCGUCUGAUAAAAUUAACCUUUAACAACCAACUGGAUGAUUAGCUGCUCCAUCAUGCUACAUACGCCUCUUUAACCGACGACAAGCUUGUUGGCGGGCAUCUGGCAGGAUCGGUGAACAUCCUCUACAUGUACAAUACCAGCUCAGGCAAUUAUUAGAACUCUGUCAGUUAGUUAAGCUCUUGUGAUCAUUGAAAGGGAGGGGGGAUUAAGGUGUUUCCAUCAACAACCAUUUAUUGGUCGAGUGGACUCAGAACUGGAUUCGUACUGAAAAAUCAGGGUUGGCAUCAUGAUAACAAGCAUGGUCACCUUAAGUCUCAACUCUGAGCCUCCUCUUGGAAAAAAUGCCCGCAUUCCAAACAAGUCCAUUUACAGACUCUAAACCUCCUCUAUGAGCACCAAGUAGACACUCUCUUUGCUAUGUUUUGGCACAAAGAGCCAGACAUCAAGUACUACGUGUGCACAAUCAACAGGACAUUUGCCAAACCAGGCCAGCGCAUGGUAUGCUCAAAUGCACAGCCUAUUCAAUGUUUACUAACUUCAUAAUGUAGCAAGUUGUAUCUCCAUACCACACAACUCCCACUUUUUAUUGUUUUUUUAACAGAAAAGAUGCUCAUUUAUUCUAACCGAGUAUCUGUGCUUUUAACCUUAUCUUUUCAACACCACUACUAAUGCUUUAAUGCCAUCCGCACACUGUAUAUGAAAAUGAUUAAUUUGCCUUGUGUAAGCCCAAUUUUCUUUCAUCGCCAUUCUUUACCACUCUCAUACUUAGUUAUACUCAAUCAGAUUCAUUGAACUCGCUUUUACAAUAUUACUUGUUUUUUCUUAGAGCUCUAUAAUCUACUGUAGUCGACCAUUCAAUUACAAGCACAUCUAUUUUUAGUUCUUCAUCUUCCUUUACUACUUCACUCUUUUCAUGAGCUUCACCAGCCAUUUUACAGAAUAUGAAAUGUUGUUUUCUUAUGCAUUUUAAUUACCUUUACAACUGUAACUUUGUGAUGAUACAAACGAAAGUUGCACAUAUUUUCCUAUUUAUACUAUUGUUCUAUCCAUGCUUAAAAUAUAACAAAUCAUAUUCUGUUCAUACUACUUAACAGUCAGCAGUUUACUUAUGUUACAAAUACCAAUUAUAUUCCCUUUCUCACCUGAUCAACACCUGAUCUGUUGUUAUUUUUCUCCUACCACUUAUGAAAUUUCUACUUUGCCUUUUCUAGCUUACCAUUUUUUCAUUCGUUUGUUCUCUGUUCAUACACUAAGCUGUACAUACUCAAAUCGUCAAUUGCACACCAGAAAUAUUGACUUCUCUUUGCUCUUUCAUGAGCCAUUUUACUUGACCAUUCAGAAUGUUGGGUCCUCAAGACGUGUAGUGAAUAACAGUACUUUGCUAACACCAUUAAUAUCAUGAAUAUCCAUAGAACACGCUCUUAUCUUUCAUAUCACACAACAAUUUAUGUCCAUGUAAAUAACUUACUUUCUUCUACCAGUAUUUUUAGGUUAACUAUACUGAAGAGAACUUGCAGGACUACAUUGAUCCAAACAAUGAUACACUCAUGGUCAUACUUGCAGACCGCCAUCUGCUCGCCGAAUGUUGCAUCAUGCUAGGAAUGGACAAAAGGGCCACUAUAACCACCAACUGGCCUGAGUUUUGUCGCCGCGCCAACAUUCGCGAGGGAGACAUAUGUGCAUUUCGUUUCAGGAUAACUUCAAAGCGCCGCCUGGUCCUCACCGUGCACUACCUCUAGAUGCACCAUCGAAGAUGAUGCAGCCCCUGUGUCAAUAUAAUCUAGCAUUAAGUACUCCUAAUUAUGUUAUAUCCUGUGAUAACCUAUCGGUUGCUUUUGGGUCCUCUUAUCACAUGCUUUUCAAGACACUAAACCUACGUUGCUGCUUAUGUUAAGUGCACUAUUGUCAGUCAGAUGUUUCAUGUUCAGAUCCAUAAUGAGCUUUCUCUGUAAAGUAUAUAUUUCUAUUUUU